AUUUAAGUAGUUUAAUAAAAAUGUUGAUUUGUGGGGUCAAAGUUGUAAAAUAUUAUCUUGAAUA
rnacentral:tRNA from 1 species